rnacentral:lncRNA from 1 species
ACACAGCCAACAUAAUAUCAAAAUAUAUUUUAUUCUGGACCUCUUUCAGAUCUGAUUCAAAUUACAGUUGUCAAAGCAAUACAAUGCAAAGGGAAACUGCAACAACAACAACAAAAAAUGUGCCUAGAAAGGAUAAAAGGGUUAUUAGGGACAAAUCAUUGUGAUGUGGAACCAAAAUACAUCAUAAGUGUAAUUAACAUGGUCCAGGACAGCAUAGAACAUCUAUAUCAGUCUUCCUUACACAAUAAUCAUGAAAACUGAACAAUAAAGUUCUUUAACAUGUACAAAAAACUGUCAUGGGCUGGUUUACACUUUUACAACAGUUUUAAAGUUAACUGGAUAACUAAAAAAUGAUGCAGACAUUUUAAUCCAGUGCUAUAGGUAGGCUCACAGAAUUAGACCCAAAGGAUUUGUAAAAAUCAAAAUGAAAACAUAGUUACAAUGUCAAAGUCAGGAAAGAAGAUUAUUUCUAUAUUCGAGGAUCACAGAGCUACAAAAUGUAGUCUGCAUGUUUUUGUUUGUAAUGAGAUGGAUAAGUACACAUCAGACUAGAUUUAACAUGCAGAAUGUUUUCUUGAACUUAUCCAGAAAUUCCAAAGAAAACAUCAUGAACAGCUGGCUUACUAGGAAAAAAAUAAUAUGCCCUAGUUAUUCACCCUGCUUCAACACUUGUCAACAUAAAGCAGAAAUAAAGAAUGCUAUCAAUAUCUCAGAGCUACUGAAAUAAGACAUCAAAUUUCUAAAUCAGUGUAUUAAAAAAGUGAACACUUCCUUUUUUCCACUCCUACAUUUAACUAGAAUCAUGUUUUAAAAAACUUGAUAUUAAAUGUGACACUUCAGAGCUACAACUGGAAGGAGUAAUUCAUAACUUCUCUACUCUCCUUCCAUCCCUGCUGGUUAAGAGAAGGGAGAGAAGGAGAAACAAACAAAACAAACAAAAACAACCAGGGUCUCUUCUGGGUUUGCUGCUAUUCCCCAAAAUGUCGGCAUUUGCUGCCAUGCCACAAUGUUGGUCCACUGAAACAGGAUUUCUACGGUAAUUCACCAUAUGCAAGUACUGUCCUUAGCAUGUGAGAAUAAACACGGUUCUGUAGAAAUGUACAAUGUGUUUAAGAAAAUGAAAAUUGUCUUAAAAGAGUAAACACUGCAUUUGAGAUUUAUUUUUCUACUUAGUAAAACUUGUCAUUUUUGCUUGCUGAAGUAUGAUCAUUUGUGAUUCCUUUAAAUAGCAAAAAUGCACAGUUCUCCUUAGGCCUCUACUCAUUUAUAGUUUACAUUACUCUUAACAAAAUCACUCUACAUAAACAGAUAGCUCCUUAAAAAUAGUACUCUCUCUCAUUAAAUCUAAUUUGACAGAAAGAAGUUUAAGGAAAAAAGGAGUGCUUUAUAAGUUAAGUGAAAAAGUACAAAUCUUUGGCCUUUCUCUUGACAUUUUUAUAUGUCAAAAAGCACAAAACCUUCAUGUAAUUCAAUCUAGUGAUUACUUUUUGCACCAUAAUUUGCUUUUUACACCACAAAAGGAGGCACUUUCAGUAUCUGUAAAAGAUGUUUAAUCCUAAGACAUACUUACCUAGAGAAUAAUUAAAACAAUUUAAAACACUCUAAGACCUAUUAGGAAAUUACCAGUUUACCACUUCUAAAAGUCACUUGAAAGUCAAUAAUAUUACCUGAUUCAUUAUAGGGGAUUGGAACAAAUAUAAGUAAAGAAUUUCCUAUGUGGAGAAAAAGAUAUUCCUUUAUGACAUUUAAGAGUGGCAGCUGCUCUUUCUUUAUUCUAUUUUGAUCAAGGAGUAUUCAUUCAUUUUCCUUCCUGUUUUUCCUUGUAAGCCCCUUGUAGUAGUGUAUAAAAUGAUGGUCUAUGAUGAACACCACAGAAAAACUACUGGGUUCAACUGAUCUUCAGGAGUUAAGUUGUUAGGAAAAAAAUAGGAAAAAUGAGUAAGAACCCCAAAUAUAGAACUUUACAGCUGUGAAACUUCAUCUCUUGCAAACAUGUUACUGUUCAAAUUAGAGACGAUCUUAUGUUUUUCUACUGGAGCAGCAUCGUGGCACAUCAGCAGGCAAUGAUGAUGUUGAGAACAGCAGCAAAAACAAUCUUAUGUUCAUGAAGAACCCAAGCCCACAAAAUGGAUACCUUUCAAGAGAAGUUCAUACUUAAAAAGACCCAAGACUUCAGGAUAAUAAAGCUCUGCAUUUAUAAUCUUUUAUAUGUCCUAUUGUGACUAUUAUGCUAAAGUAAAAUAGCUAAAGAAUUUUAAAAAAACAAAAAAGAUGACAGUAUCAUAAAAAUGUAGCUGUCUAUUUUGGCAGCUAUAUUGCAGAAUUUCUUGCUAUCUUUUAAUCAGCUGGGGAAAAAAGUCAACUAUGCAAAUGAAUAAACUGUCCAUAUCAAAAUACAAAAGUACUAUCAAUAAUCACCUCUGACUUUCAGAUUUAAGUUCAGUGCAAUUGACAAAUGCAUCGCUAAAGGAAAAUGCAGCUUAAACAUACUCAAAACAUUUGUGUCUAUUCCUGGGAGCACAUUUAAAAAUUAUUGCACAGAUUUUUAAAUUUUUAUUUAUUUUUUUUUAAACAACAACAGAGGUCAACCAUAGAUGUGAACCUCUAGCAAGAAAAGCAGGAUUUCAAGUGCCAGAUACUCAGCAUAUUAGGUUUCCUACAUAAGUCACAGGGUAAUAAGUUGUAAGUAUCUCUAAUGUGAUCCAAAACCCUAAAAACAGCUGGCACAAAACCAUCAUGACUGUCUCUCUGGAUGUAAAUUUUAAAAAAUAUUAUUACAGUAUCAUAGUCCCCACUAACAACAACUGGGGUACAUAUAACAAUGUAUUGUGAAAUUAAGUGUAUUUAUUCUCUUACCAAUAGCAAAUGCUACCCUACCUUAGGAAAACCAAGACUUGCUUCAAUCAAUGCUGUUUUGUAAAAAUAGCAAAACAACAAAUGCAAAUCAAAGCUGCAUUACUUGGGUUAAAUCAGUUUCUACUUAGAACACAGGCUAAAAUUUUGGUAGUAAAGGCCUCAGAGUAAUUAGUGACAGGAAUAGUGUUUUUAAUUUGCUAAGCUUGAAAAUAAGCAAUUGCUUAAUCAAAAUCUGUAAGGUAUAAAUUUGACAACAAUUUUCUUCAAACUUGACACUCCUGGAUCAUUUUAAUCAUGACAAACCCUGUUAAUAUACAUACACAUGGCCUCAUGCUAACAUUUAUCUGUAUAUUUUACUUUAGUUGCAUGAGCACAAGGAGAUUUGAUACCUACGUCUUUAAGAAAAUACUUGAUAUAAACAGAGUAAAAGACAUGAGAUAGUAGUGAUUACUGGAAAAAAAUAGCAGCUUAAAUCUAUCUAUAUUUG